ensembl:snRNA U6 U6 spliceosomal RNA
GUGCUCACUUCGGCAGCAUAUAUACUAAAAUUGGAAUGAUACAGAGAAGAUUAGCAUGGCCCCUGUGCAAGAUGACAUGCAAAUUCGUAAAGUGUUCCAUUAAAAA